ACCUUAACCAUUCAGAGUUAAUGCCUGACCUUAACCAUUCAGAGUUAAUGUCUAACCUUGGGUGAACGUCUGACGUGAGACAGAGAGCUGGUAGGUGGGUGAACGUCUGACGUGAGACAGAGAGCUGGUAGGUGGGUGAACGUCUGACGUGAGACAGAGAGCUGGUAGGUGGGUGAACGAUGAAGGAGUAAUGGAGGUGUGUUAUGGUGAUGGACAGUGAGGCUGAGAUAGGUGGGUGUUUACAAACAGGGAUUAAUCUGCCCUGUUCUGGGCUGANNNNNNNNNNGGGUUGCAAAACUGACUUGGGAUCAGCCCCUGAUGGGCAUCUUGACAAUACUUGAGGUUUGCUCAGGGUGCAACUUUCCACUUCUGAUUUUACAGACGGGGGACUUUGGUGAAUUCCUGUCAUUUUUGUCAUUCCUCUAUCUACUGUCAGAACAUGUCUGGUACACACAGUAUGUCCUCACUGCUGAGAGAGAGAAGAGAAGAGAGGGAGGAGGAGAGAGAGAGAGGAAAGGAGAGGGGGAAGGGGGAGAGAGAGGAGAGAGGAGAGGGGGAAGGGAGAGGGGAAAGGAUAGGGAGAAGGGAAAGGAGAGAGGGAGGAGGAGAGAGGAAAGGGGAGAGGGAGAGAGGAAAGGAGAGGGGGAAGGGAGAGGGGACAGGAGAGAGGUUCUUGCAUAUUUGGAGGUUGAUCAUGUAGAUAAAGGAAGGACUUAAUUGAAGGACAGAGAGAGAGAUCUGGCAUUUUACAGAGAGGAGAGGGAGAGUUGAAUAGAUCGACUUGAGAUGGAUUCUUCUAGGCAGAAAGUCAAACCCAGUGAUACAGAAUUGUUACAGUACUCCCUGAAUCUAACCCAGUGAUACAGAGUUGUUACAGUACUCCCUGGAUCUAACCCAGUGAUACAGAGUUGUUACAGUACUCCCUGGAUCUAACCCAGUGAUACAGAAUUGUUACAGUACUCCCUGGAUCUAACCCAGUGAUACAGAAUUGUUACAGUACUCCCUGGAUCUAACCCAGUGAUACAGAAUUGUUACAGUACUCCCUGGAUCUAACCCAGUGAUACAGAAUUGUUACAGUACUCCCUGGAUCUAACCCAGUGAUACAGAGCCAGACAGACUACCUAUGAGGUUCCCACAGUACCAUUACAGUUUCCAUAGGAACUGAGCAGAUCAUGUAUCUCUUAUGAAAAUUUGGUGUUUACUUUAAAAAAAAACUUUUUCCGCCGUUUUUCUGUUCUGCUUCUAUGCAGGCUGUAUGUGAAGUUGUGGAAGCCAGAGUGGGGUUUCUCUCUUAAAUGACAGAGUAGUAUCUCUGCUGUGAGAUUACUAAGGAGUGGUCUCUUAAAUGACAGAGUAGUAUCUCUGCUGUGAGAUUAUUAAGGAGUGGUCUCUUAAAUGACAGAGUAGUAUCUCUGCUGUGAGAUUA
rnacentral:lncRNA from 13 species